AUUGAACGCUGGCGGCAGGCCUAACACAUGCAAGUCGAACGGGGCGGCGGACGGGUGAGUAAUACCUAUGACUCUGCAUGGUAGUGAGGGAUAACGUCCGGUAAUGGGAGCUAAUACCGCAUACUAUCACCUUCGCCUAGGUCGGAUUAGCUAGUUGGUGGGGUAAAGGCCUACCCAGGCGACGAUCCGUAACUGGUCUGAGAGGAUGAUCAGUCACACUGGAACUGAGACACGGUCCAGACUCCUACGGGAGGCAGCAGUGGGGAAUAUUGCACAAUGGGCGCAAGCCUGAGGCAGCCAUGCCGCGUGUAUGAAGAAGGCCUUCGGGUUGUAAAGUACUUUCAGCGAGGAGGCGUUACUCGCAGAAGAAGCACCGGCUAACUCCGUGCCAGCAGCCGCGGUAAUUC
rnacentral:rRNA from 1 species